ACAUGCAGUCGAACGAUGAAGACCGGUGCUUGCACUGGUUGGAUUAGUGGCGAACGGGUGAGUAAUACGUGAGUAACCUGCCUUUGACUCUGGGAUAAGCCUUGGAAACGAGGUCUAAUACCGGAUAUGACACAGUUUCGCAUGAAAUCUGUGUGGAAAGGGUUUUGUACUGGUUUUAGAUGGGCUCACGGCCUAUCAGCUUGUUGGUGAGGUAAUGGCUCACCAAGGCGACGACGGGUAGCCGGCCUGAGAGGGUGACCGGCCACACUGGGACUGAGACACGGCCCAGACUCCUACGGGAGGCAGCAGUGGGGAAUAUUGCACAAUGGGCGCAAGCCUGAUGCAGCGACGCCGCGUGAGGGAUGACGGCCUUCGGGUUGUAAACCUCUUUCAGCAGGGGAGAAGCGAAAGUGACGGUACCUGCAGAAGAAGCGCCGGCUAACUACGUGCCAGCAGCCGCGGUAAUACGUAGGGCGCGAGCGUUGUCCGGAAUUAUUGGGCGUAAAGAGCUUGUAGGCGGUUUGUCGCGUCUGCUGUGAAAGCCCGGGGCUUAACUCCGGGUUUGCAGUGGGUACGGGCUAACUAGAGUGCAGUAGGGGAGACUGGAAUUCUUGGUGUAGCGGUGGAAUGCGCAGAUAUCAGGAGGAACACCGAUGGCGAAGGCAGGUCUCUGGGCUGUAACUGACGCUGAGAAGCGAAAGCAUGGGGAGCGAACAGGAUUAGAUACCCUGGUAGUCCAUGCCGUAAACGUUGGGCACUAGGUGUGGGGGACAUUCCACGUUUUCCGCGCCGUAGCUAACGCAUUAAGUGCCCCGCCUGGGGAGUACGGCCGCAAGGCUAAAACUCAAAGAAAUUGACGGGGGCCCGCACAAGCGGCGGAGCAUGCGGAUUAAUUCGAUGCAACGCGAAGAACCUUACCAAGGCUUGACAUAUACUGGACUCCCCUAGAGAUAGGGUUUCCCUUCGGGGCUGGUAUACAGGUGGUGCAUGGUUGUCGUCAGCUCGUGUCGUGAGAUGUUGGGUUAAGUCCCGCAACGAGCGCA
rnacentral:rRNA from 1 species